GACGAACCUUGCGAACGUUGUUCGGAAUAACUGGGCUUAAAGGGUGCGUAGGCGGGUCCGCCAGUCUGUGGUGAAAUCCUCCCGCUCAACGGGAGAACUGCCGUGGAUACUGCGGACCUCGAGGAAGAUAGGGGCGUGCGGAACAGUUGGUGGAGCGGUGAAAUGCGUUGAUAUCAACUGGAACUCAGGUGGCGAAGGCGGCACGCUGGGUCUUUUCUGACGCUGAGGCACGAAAGCUAGGGGAGCAAACGGG
rnacentral:rRNA from 1 species